GAAUUCCAUGACCCAGUUUACAGUAAAUUGGAAGUAGACAGAAGGUGUAUUAGUCUGACCACAAAGAUGGAAAAGAAAAUCUAUCAAAAAAGAGACAGACUACUCAGUCAGAUAAUGAGGCCCUUCAAGUUAUAAAUAAGCUUUCCUGCUUAUAUCAGGACACCUUCAUCCUAUUAUUGUAUUAUAGCAUAGUACAAUUAUAUUUGGUCACAAUACUGACAAUGAGUCAUCCACAGCAUCAUCACCCAGCAUUUAUUGAUGUCUACUGUAAAGUAGAGUUGGAUGGCACCAUUUCUGCUCUCAAACAGUUUAAAAGAUCCCUGUGCAGAAAAAGACGUAUUUAGAACAUUUUGGUUGGUAAGGUGAUAUGUAACAAACUUGAGAUCUUAUAGGAUAGGAGAACACUAGGACACUAAUUAGGAACUGGUCCCAGGAACAAAGACCUUCUGGACUCAUCUGACAAGAUAAGAAUCAUCAAGCAUUCUUCCAGCAGAAAGUGACAAAGCCCUCCUUGAGCUGCUCAUGAGAAUUCACAAAUUUUUCAGAUAAAAGAUGCCUAUUUUAUUCUGGCUGAAAGCAUGAACAGAAUAAACAAUGAGCUCUGUGAAGAAUGUUCUAUGAACCCGAAUCAAACUCAAACUCCUGUGUCACUCCGGUACGCCUGAUCACUGGAUAUAACCACGUAUUGGUCCAGAACCUCCCUCUCUGUUACUACUCCCUUUGGAUUUAUCCAGUAGUCUUAGACGUCACCAGGGCCAAGCCAUGCAUAUAUAGAUUGAAAUGUUGUUUUCAAAACCUACUCAAGCUAUCUCUUGAUGAACAAGAUUAGUACCAUCUGAUUACAACCCUGAAGAGUCUAGAUUCCUUAUUCUGCAAAAUGGAUUUAUUGUAUCUCAAGGCACUGUGAAGUUUGCAGUAGCAUGUAUAGGCAAAAAGGAAAGUCCAAAGAGAGGAAAAGAAAGCAGGAGAGAUCUGAAAUGACACAAGAAGUGACUCAGAAUGGGAAGAUUGUGCACUCCUUGUUGUCCCCUAAUGCACAUGGAAGUAUGCAACAGAAGCUGUGAAAAUAACCCAGAGUUUCGCUCGUGUUGCCCAGGCUGGAGUGCAAUGACA
rnacentral:lncRNA from 1 species